GGGUGCGAUCAUACCAGCACAAAUGCACCGGAUCCCAUCAGAAGUCUGAAGUUAAGUGUGCUUGGGUGAGAGCAGUACUAGGAUGGAUGACCCCCUGGGAAGUCCUCGGGUUGCACCUA